GGGAUUGCCCUAGUAACGGCGAGUGAAGCGGCAACAGCUCAAAUUUGAAAUCUGGCGCAAGCCCGAGUUGUAAUUUGUAGAGGAUGCUUCUAGGUAGCGACCGGUCUAAGUUCCUUGGAACAGGACGUCAUAGAGGGUGAGAAUCCCGUAUGUGACCGGCCCGCGCCUUCCACGUAGCUCCUUCGACGAGUCGAGUUGUUUGGGAAUGCAGCUCUAAAUGGGAGGUAAAUUUCUUCUAAAGCUAAAUACCGGCCAGAGACCGAUAGCGCACAAGUAGAGUGAUCGAAAGAUGAAAAGCACUUUGGAAAGAGAGUUAAAAAGCACGUGAAAUUGUUGAAAGGGAAGCGCUCACAACCAGACUUCUGGGCGGUGUUCCGCCGGUCUUCUGACCGGUCUACUCGCCGUCCCGAGGCCAACAUCAUCUGGGACCGCCGGAUAAGACCUCAGGAAUGUGGCUCCCCUCGGGGAGUGUUAUAGCCUGUGGUGAUGCGGCGCGUCUCGGGUGAGGUCCGCGCUUCGGCAAGGAUGUUGGCGUAAUGGUUGUCAGCGGCCCGUCUUGAAACACGGACCAAGGAGUCUAACAUCUAUGCGAGUGUUCGGGUGUCAAACCCCUACGCGUAAUGAAAGUGAACGGAGGUGGGAAGGGUAACCUGCACCAUCGACCGAUCCUGAUGUCCUCGGAUGGAUUUGAGUAAGAGCAUAGCUGUUGGGACCCGAAAGAUGGUGAACUAUGCCUGAAUAGGGUGAAGCCAGAGGAAACUCUGGUGGAGGCUCGCAGCGGUUCUGACGUGCAAAUCGAUCGUCAAAUUUGGGU
rnacentral:rRNA from 1 species